rnacentral:tRNA from 1 species
CCGUCCCUAGCUCAAUUGGCAGAGCAGCUCCCUUUUAAGGAGAAGGUUCUGAGUUCGAUUCUCAGGGGACGGA